CAGUCGCCACGGGAAUACGUAGGUGGCAAGCGUUGUCCGGAAUUAUUGGGCGUAAAGCGCGCGCAGGCGGAUAGGUCAGUCUGUCUUAAAAGUUCGGGGCUUAACCCCGUGAUGGGAUGGAAACUGCCAAUCUAGAGUAUCGGAGAGGAAAGUAGAAUUCCUAGUGUAGCGGUGAAAUGCGUAGAUAUUAGGAAGAACACCAGUGGCGAAGGCGACUUUCUGGACGAAAACUGACGCUGAGGCGCGAAAGCCAGGGGAGCGAACGGGAUUAGAGACCCGAGUAGUCCCUGUCUCUUAUACA
rnacentral:rRNA from 1 species